AUUGAACGCUGGCGGCAGGCCUAACACAUGCAAGUCGAACGAGGGGCGGACGGGUGAGUAAUGUCUGGGAAUCUGCCCGAUGGAGGGGGAUAACUACUGGAAACGGUAGCUAAUACCGCAUACUAUCGGAUGUACCCAGAUGGGAUUAGCUAGUAGGUGGGGUAAAGGCUCACCUAGGCGACGAGCCCUAGCUGGUCUGAGAGGAUGACCAGCCACACUGGAACUGAGACACGGUCCAGACUCCUACGGGAGGCAGCAGUGGGGAAUAUUGCACAAUGGGCGCAAGCCUGAUGCAGCCAUGCCGCGUGUAUGAAGAAGGCCUUCGGGUUGUAAAGUACUUUCAGCGGGGAGGCGUUACCCGCAGAAGAAGCACCGGCUAACUCCGUGCCAGCAGCCGCGGUAAUAC
rnacentral:rRNA from 1 species